AUGCCAAAGAAUGCUCAAACUACCGCACAAUUGUACUCAUCUCACUCUAGUAAAGUAAUGCUCAAAAUUCUCCAAGCCAGGCUUCAGCAAUACGUGAACCAUGAACUUCCAGAUGUUCAAGCUGGUUUUAGAAAAGGCAGAGGAACCAGAGAUCAAACUGCCAAUAUCCGCUGGAUCAUGGAAAAAGCAAGAGAGUUCCAGAAAAACAUCUAUUUCUGCUUUAUUGACUAUGCCCAAGCCUUUGACUGUGUGGAUCACAAUAAACUGUGGAAAAUUCUGAAAGAGAUGGGCAUUCCAGACCACCUGACCUGCCUCUUGAGAAACCUAUAUGCAGGUCAGGAAGCAACAGUUAGAACUGAACAUGGAACAACAGACUGGUUCCAAAUAGGAAAGGGAGUCCGUCAAGGCUGUAUAUUGUCACCCUGCUUAUUUAACUUAUAUGCAGAGUACAUCAUGAGAGACGCUGGGUUGGAGGAAGCACAAGCUGGAAUCAAGAUUGCUGGGAGAAAUCUCAAUAACCUCAGAUAUGCAGAUGACACCACCCUUAUGGCAGAAAGUGAAGAGAAACUAAAAAGCUUCUUGAUGAAAGUAAAAGAGGAGAGUGAAAAAGUUGACUUAAAGCUCAACAUUCAGAAAACGAAGAUCAUGGCAUCUGGUCCCAUCACUUCAUGGGAAAUAGAUGGGAAAACAGUGGAAACAGUGUCAGACUUCAUUUUUCUGGGCUCCAUAAUCACUGCAGAUGAUGAUUGCAGCCAUGAAAUUAAAAGACACUUACUCCUUGGAAGAAAAGUUAUGAUCAACCUAGAUAGCAUAUUCAAAAGCAGAGGCAUGACUUUGCCAACAAAGGCCCAUCUAGUCAAGACUAUGGUUUUUCCAGUGGUCAUGUAUGAAUGUGAGAGUUGGACUGUGAAGAAAGCCGAGCACCAAAGAAUGGAUGCUUUUGAACUGUGGUGUUGGAGAAGACUCUUGAGAGUCCCUUGGACUGCAAGGAGAUCCAAUCAGUCCAUUCUGAAGGAGAUCAGCCAUGGGAUUUCUUUGGAGGGAAUGAUGCUAAAGCUGAAACUUCAGUACUUUGGCCACCUCAUGCGAAGAGUUGACUCACUGGAAAAGACUCUGAUGCUGGGAGAGAUUGAGGGCAGGAGGAGAAGGGGACGACAGAGGAUAAGAUGGCUGGAUGGUAUCACUGACUCGAUGGAUGUGAGUCUGAGUGAACUCCAGGAGUUGGUGAUGGACAGGGAGGCCUGGUGUGCUGCGAUUCAUGGGGUCACAAAGAGUCAGACAUGA
rnacentral:lncRNA from 1 species